GGCCCCGCGUCGGGCACCCCAGAUUGUGGUGCCGAAGCGCUGGCAGGUUUCCUAGUCUGAGGCGCGCACCGUUACUGUGAGGCAGUAGGUUCUAUGCAAUCCUAUCAAAAAUCCCAGUUGCUUUUUUCCCCCAGAAAUUGACAAGCAGAGUCUAAAAUUCACAUGGCAGUGCAAGGGACUCAGAAAAGCCAAAAGAAUCAUGAAGUAAAAAGUUGAAACAUUCAUUCUUCCUGAUUUCAAAGCUGACUACAGAGCUACAAUAAUCAAGAACAGAGCAAACGAGUGACUAUACUGAUGUCGUUAUGUGAGGUAGGAAGUUCACAUGUGGAAUGGGGGAAGAGGAAGAGGAACCCUGCAGUGGGAUUUGGAUUGAAGGUGUCCGUGUGAACUGAUUUUCCCCUGGACCUGUCCACUCAACGGUCUGCAAGCAAAGAAGUUCCAGUAGCAGGGACAACACAGCAAGAGCCAGGGGUGUCUCGUGAUCAUUAACCACCUGCAUCAGCACAAGGCAUUCUUCCAGCUUCCAUAUCAGAUGAAGGCAAGGGUAAAUGUUGAUAGGAAACUUAGAGGACCCGGAUGCAUUCCUGUGAGUGAACUGCAGCUCAAUCACAUGGGAAGGGGAGGGUUGGACUGGGGGCCCAAGAUGGGGCUGACAAAAUGGAGUCAGUAUGGUCCAGCCACAUGGCAUCACAUGGACCAUGACAAGAGUAGAUAUUCAGGUGAGUCAGUCGAAACUGAUUAAUUGGUUCAAGGGAGGAUGGAAUGGGUGGAAAUAGAAUUGUGAGUAUUAGCAGUUCUUCAGAGAAUUUCUGUUAUAAACAGGAAUGGGGAGAUGCGAGGUCAGCAUUGUGCUCCCAUGUCCCUUUCUCCUAUUCCAAGAUUCCAUCUGACAUCAUCCACUUCUACACUUCUGGUUUGGGACUUGUACAUGGAGGCAUACUGGCUGGUGUGAUAGCUUCAGAUCCCCCUUUAUUACCUGUUUUAUUUGCAUAAUAAGACGAUAACUAAACUUUAGUAAUAAGUAUCUCCUACAGCACUUUUUAACUCCAAAGCUGCAGGGAGGAGGAGUAUGAGUAUGGUUUUUUUUUUUUUUAAUCAUUAUUUCACCAUACACAGUAUUACCUAACUUUACCCAUUAUAUUUGAAGUUUUUAUACCUGAUAAAUGUCUGUAUUUAUGUGUAUGUGAAAAAGGAUUUGCCACAGUGAGGUUAAUAGUCACAGUUUUAUGUCAAAUUAAGCAGGCACAAAUAAUAGAAGGCAUUAAUAGCAGAGUCUCAGGGGCAACACAUUUCAGUUCAGUCGCUCAGUCAUUUCUGACUCUUUGCGACCCCAUGGACUGUA